rnacentral:tRNA from 1 species
UCCCUGGUGGCUCAGAGGUUAAAGCGUCUGCCUGAAAUGCGGGAGACCUGGGUUUGAUCCCUGGGUUGGGAA